GCUACCAUGCAGUCGAGCGGUAACAGAAAGAUUGUUGCUUUCUUUGCUGACGACGGCGGACGGGGGAGUAAUGCCUGGCAGUAUACCCUGAUGUGGGGGAUAACUAUUGGAAACGAUCCCUAAUACCGCAAAAUCUCUUCGGAGGGGACAGGGGGACCUUCGGGCCUCUCACGACCCGAUUAGCCCUUGUGGGAUUAGCUAGGUGGUGGGGCAAUGGCUCAACAAGGCGACAAUGCCUAGCUAGGCUGAUAGGAUGAUCUGCCACUCUGAAACUGACACACCGCCCACACUCCGACGGGAGGCGGAAUAGGGGAAUAUGGCACAAUGGGGGAAACCCUGAUGCCGCCUUGCCGCGUGAAUUAUUAAGGUCUUCGGGUUGUUUAGUACUUUCAGAUGGGAGGAAGGCUAUUAAGUUAAUAGCUUGACUGUUUGACGUUAACAACAGAAGAAGCACCGGCUAACUCCGUGCCAGCAGCCGCGGAGGUACCGAGGGUGCGAGCGUUAUUCGGAAUUACUGGGCGUAGAGCGCAUGCUGGCGGUCUGUUAGUCAAGAUGUGAAAGCCCGGGGCUCAACCUCGGAACAGCAUUUUGAACUGGCGGACUAGAGUCUUGUGGAGGGGGGGUAGAAUUUCAGGUGUAGCGGUGAAAUGCGUAGAGAUCUGAAGGAAUACCGGUGGCGAAAGCGGCCCCCUGGACAAAGACUGACGCUCAAUGCGAAAGCGUGGGGAGCAAACAGGAUUAGAUACCCUGGUAGUCCACGCCGUAAACGAUGUCUACUUGAAGGUGGUGGCCUUGAGCCGUGACUUUCGCAGCUAACGCGUUAAGUAGACCGCCUGGGGAGUACGGUCGCAAGAUUAAAACUCAAAUGAAUUGACGGGGGCCCGCACAAGCGGUGGAGCAUGUGGUUUAAUUCGAUGCAACGCGAAGAACCUUACCUACUCUUGACAUCCAGAGAAUUCUCUAGAGAUAGAUUAGUGCCUUCGGGAACUCUGAGACAGGUGCUGCAUGGCUGUCGUCAGCUCGUGUUGUGAAAUGUUGGGUUAAGUCCCGCAACGAGCGCAACCCUUAUCCUUGUUUGCCAGCACGUAAUGGUGGGCACUCCAGGGAGACUGCCGGUGAUAAACCGGAGGAAGGUGGGGACGACGUCAAGUCAUCAUGGCCCUUACGAGUAGGGCUACACACGUGCUACAAUGGUGUAUACAGAGGGCUGCCAGCUAGCGAUAGUGAGCGAAUCCCACAAAGUCCGUCGUAGUCCGGAUCGCAGUCUGCAACUCGACUCCAUGAAGUCGGAAUCGCUAGUAAUCGUGAAUCAGAAUGUCACGGUGAAUACGUUCCCGGGCCUUGUACACACCGCCCGUCACACCAUGGGAGUGGGCUGCACCAGAAGUAGCAUAGUCUAACCUUCGGGAGGAGCGUUA
rnacentral:rRNA from 1 species